rnacentral:lncRNA from 1 species
CUAGAGCUGGCAUGUCAGUUAACUGCUAGUAGUCUGUUGUUAUUUAUGUAUUAUUGUCAUUUUAUUUAUUUUCUUUUGUUACAUCUUCUGACAUCGGACUCGGACUUUUCUUGAACUGAAUUUUAAUGUAUUGUUAUGCGUUUACCUUUCUACAUUGGCUAGAGGUAAAGGGGAGGGUUGAGAUCUCAUAAACAUGUUUAACCCCG